UACGGGGGGGGCAAGCGUUGUUCGGAAUUACUGGGCGUAAAGCGCACGUAGGCGGAUUGUUAAGUCGGGGGUGAAAUCCUGGAGCUCAACUCCAGAACUGCCUUCGAUACUGGCGAUCUCGAGUUCGGGAGAGGUGAGUGGAACUGCGAGUGUAGAGGUGAAAUUCGUAGAUAUUCGCAAGAGCACCAGUGGCGAAGGCGGCUCACUGGCCCGAUACUGACGCUGAGGUGCGAAAGCGUGGGGAGCAAACAGG
rnacentral:rRNA from 1 species